GUUGAUUCUGCCUGACGUAGACGCUAUACUCUAAGAUUAACCCAUGCAUGUUUUUGAAUAUAAAGAAAAGACGAACAGCUCAGUAACUCUUAUUUGAUUUGAUGUAUUAGGACUCUAACUAUGUUAAAUUAUAGGUAACAAUAAUACAAUAAGAAUAAGAUCUAUCAGUUAGUUGUUAAGGUAAUGGCUUAACAAGACUAUGACGGAUAACGGUAUUACUUUGUAAUAUUCCGGAGAAGGAGCCUGAGAGAUUGCUACUAAGUCUAAGGAUUGCAGCAGGGGCGAAACUUGACCUAUGAUAUUAUAUUGAGGCAGUUAUGAGUAGUAUUUUAUAAUUAUUGUAGUAUUGUAAGUACAUAUUACAAGAUAAAUCGGAGGGCAAAUCGAGUGCCAGCAGCCGCGGUAAUACUUGUUCCGAUAGUGUGUAUGAUGAUUGAUGCAGUUAAAAAGUCUGUAGUUUAUUUUAUAAUAAGCAUUGUAAGGUAUACUGUAUGGUUAGGAGAGAGAUGAAAUGUGAUAACCCUAACUGGAUGAACAGAAGCGAAAGCUGUAUACUUAAAUGUAUUAUUAGAACAAGGACGUAAGCUAGAGGAUCGAAGAUGAUUAGAUACCAUUGUAGUUCUAGCAGUAAACUAUGUUGAAUCAUAGAUAUAUUUUGAUAUAUAUUUAUGUAGAGAAAUUAAGAUUAUAUUGACUCUGGGGAUAGUAUGAUCGCAAGAUUGAAAAUUAAAGAAAUUGACGGAAGAAUACCACAAGGAGUGGAUUGUGCGGCUUAAUUUGACUCAACGCGGGGUAAUUUACCAGGUAUAACAUGAUAUAAUAUUUUAUCAUGAUAGUGGUGCAUGGCCGUUUCCAAUGGAUGCUGUGAAGUAAUGAUUAAUUUCAACAAGAUGUGAGACCCUCAUUUAGACAGAUGUAGUGAUACAUAUGAAGGAGAGGAUUAAAACAGGUCCGUUAUGCCCUAAGAUAAUCUGGGUUGCACGCGCAAUACAAUAAUAUUUGAUAUUAUAAGGGAUAAUAUAAUGUAAGAUAUAUUUGAACAUGGAAUUGCUAGUAAAUUUUAUUUAAUAAGUAGAAUUGAAUGAGUCCCUGUUCUUUGUACAUAACGCGCACGUCGGGU
rnacentral:rRNA from 1 species